UACGUAGGAUGCAAGCGUUGUCCGGAUUUACUGGGCGUAAAGAGCUCGUAGGCGGGGACGCGCGUCUCGGAGGAAAUUCCAGGGCUCAACCCUGGAGCUUUCCGAGAUACGGCGUCUCUUGAGGGCAGAAGAGGAGAACAGAAUUCCCGGUGUAGCGGUGAAAUGCGUAGAUAUCGGGAGGAAUACCAGUGGCGAAGGCGGUUCUCUGGUCUGUCUCUGACGCUGAGGAGCGAAAGCGUGGGUAGCGAACGGGAUUAGAUACCCCGGUAGUCCACGCCGUAAACGAUGGGCACUAGGUGUAGGAGGUAUCGACCCCUUCUGUGCCGCAGCUAACGCAUUAAGUGCCCCGCCUGGGGAGUACGGCCGCAAGGUUGAA
rnacentral:rRNA from 1 species